rnacentral:misc_RNA from 1 species
CCAAAAUAAGAUUUAUUUAUUUCUAAAUGAACCUUAUAAGGUGAAGUAAUCUCAUUAACAAUUUAUUUCUACAUGAACCUUCAUGGGCAGGGGCGGAUUUACAAUGGGGGUUUGUAUAGGUAGAAUAUUUUUAAUAUUUUCAACUAAAUUUAAAAAUUUUGUCCCCAUAAAAUUUAUUAAUUUUUCCCCCACUAAAUUUAUCAAUUAUGGCCCAUAGUUCACUUAUUCUUUUAAGUUGUUUAUUUAUCGUACUUAGACUAAAUACAAAUCAUUAUUUUAAUU